rnacentral:rRNA from 1 species
GAUGAACGCUGGCGGCGUGCUUAACACAUGCAAGUCGAACGGUGAAGGCGGAGCUUGCUCUGCUGGAUCAGUGGCGAACGGGUGAGUAGCACGUGAGCAAUCUGCCCCUGACUCUGGGAUAAGCGCUGGAAACGGCGUCUAAUACUGGAUACGAGCUGCGAAGGCAUCUUCAGCAGCUGGAAAGAAUUUCGGUCAGGGAUGAGCUCGCGGCCUAUCAGCUUGUUGGUGAGGUAAUGGCUCACCAAGGCGUCGACGGGUAGCCGGCCUGAGAGGGUGACCGGCCACACUGGGACUGAGACACGGCCCAGACUCCUACGGGAGGCAGCAGUGGGGAAUGUUGCACAAUGGGCGAAAGCCUGAUGCAGCAACGCCGCGUGAGGGACGACGGCCUUCGGGUUGUAAACCUCUUUUAGCAGGGAAGAAGCGAAAGUGACGGUACCUGCAGAAAAAGCGCCGGCUAACUACGUG